GAGCUUAGCUAAACCGAAAGAAAAAGAGCGUUUAAUGGGUUAGUAACACGUGGGUAACCUGCCCAUCAGAAGGGGAUAACACUUGGAAACAGGUGCUAAUACCGUAUAACACUAUUUUCCGCAUGGAAGAAAGUUGAAAGGCGCUUUUGCGUCACUGAUGGAUGGACCCGCGGUGCAUUAGCUAGUUGGUGAGGUAACGGCUCACCAAGGCAACGAUGCAUAGCCGACCUGAGAGGGUGAUCGGCCACACUGGGACUGAUACACGGCCCAGACUCCUACGGGAGGCAGCAGUAGGGAAUCUUCGGCAAUGGACGAAAGUCUGACCGAGCAACGCCGCGUGAGUGAAGAAGGUUUUCGGAUCGUAAAACUCUGUUGUUAGAGAAGAACAAGGCUGAGAGUAUAAUGUUCAUCCCUUGACGGUAUCUAACCAGAAGCCACGGCUAACUACGUGCCAGCAGCCGCGGUAAUACGUAUGUGGAAGCGUUGUCCGGAUUUAUUGGGCGUAAGCCAGCGCAAUCCUUUCAUAUUCUGAUGGGAAGCCCCCCGCCCACCGAGGAGUUCAUUGGAACUGGACACUUGAGGCAGAAACCACAGUGGAUUCCA
rnacentral:rRNA from 1 species